AAUCCCUGCAAUGGACAAAGAGACAUCUUGCUGAUGGUGUUGUAGUUACAUAAAUCGGGGGAGAGCAGAUGGCAGUCCUUUCUUCAUUCUAGCUUGAUGCCUAGUUUGCUGCUGAAGCUGUUUUAUACCUAGGAUGCAUGA